rnacentral:rRNA from 1 species
CCUUACCUACAAGUGGGGGAUAGCCCAGAGAAAUUUGGAUUAAUACCCCGUAACAUAUAGAGAUGGCAUCAUCAUUAUAUUAAAGCUUCGGCGCUUGUUGAUGGGUGUGCGGCUGAUUAGAUAGUUGGCGGGGUAACGGCCCACCAAGUCUACGAUCAGUAGCUGAUGUGAGAGCAUGAUCAGCCACACGGGCACUGAGACACGGGCCCG